UCAGGCCUCCUUGUUUUACAAGGGCAAAUGCCCCAACAUGUGAAGUUACCCCAGCUACAUUUCAUUACAGCCAUAAACCCUACACCGUCCAGCCACAGAGCGAUUAAUUAGCUGUGUUGCUACACUAAAAGCCUUCUUCCGCAUGUUUUAGGAUUGUUGGUUGUAGCCAUGUUGGUCUGAGGACAU